GCACAACGCGAAGAACCUUACCUACCCUCGACAUGUCUGGAAUACCGAAGAGAUUUGGCAGUGCUCGCAAGAGAACCGGAACACAGGUGCUGCAUGGCUGUCGUCAGCUCGUGUCGUGAGAUGUUGGGUUAAGUCCCGCAACGAGCGCAACCCUUGUCAUUAGUUGCUACGAAAGGGCACUCUAAUGAGACUGCCGGUGACAAUCCGGAGGAAGGUGGGGAUGACGUCAAGUCCUCAUGGCCCUUAUGGGUAGGGCUUCACACGUCAUACAAUGGUCGGGACAGAGGGUCGCCAACCCGCGAGGGGGAGCCAAUCCCAGAAACCCGAUCGUAGUCCGGAUCGCAGUCUGCAACUCGACUGCGUGAAGUCGGAAUCGCUAGUAAUCGCGGAUCAGCAUGUCGCGG
rnacentral:rRNA from 1 species